AAUCAACGCUGGCGGCGUGCCUAACACAUGCAAGUCGAACGCGAAAAGGGGCAACCCUGAGUAGAGUGGCGUCCGGGUGAGUAACACGUGGAUAAUCUGCCUGCGGGCGGGGAAUAACUUUCCGAAAGGGGAGCUAAUACCGCAUAACACCGUAAUAGGGCAUCCUGAUACGGUCAAAGAAGGGGGAGUCGCAAGACCUCUCGCCUGCAGAGGAGUCCGCGGCCGAUUAGCUAGUUGGCGAGGUAACGGCUCACCAAGGCAGCGAUCGGUAGCCGGCCUGAGAGGGCGAACGGCCACACUGGCACUG
rnacentral:rRNA from 1 species